rnacentral:rRNA from 1 species
CCUACGGGAGGCAGCAGUGCGGAAUAUUGGUCAAUGGGCGCGAGCCUGAACCAGCCAAGUAGCGUGAAGGAUGACUGCCCUACGGGUUGUAAACUUCUUUUAUAAAGGAAUACAGUGAGGCACGUGUGCCUUUUUGUAUGUACUUUAUGAAUAAGGAUCGGCUAACUCCGUGCCAGCAGCCGCGGUAAUACGGAGGAUACGAGCGUUAUCCGGAUUUAUUGGGUUUAAAGGGAGCGUAGAUGGGUUGUUAAGUCAGUUGUGAAAGUUUGCGGCUCAACCGUAAAAUGGCAAUUGAUACUGGCAGCCUUGAGUACAGUUGAGGUAGGCGGAAUGCGUGGUGUAGCGGUGAAAUGCAUAGAUAUCACGAAGAACUCCGAUUGCGAAGGCAGCUUACUAAACUGCCACUGACAUUGAUGCUCGAAAGUGUGGGUAUCAAACAGGAUGAGAUACCCGGGUAGGC